rnacentral:rRNA from 1 species
GUCGAGAAUCUUUCUCAAUGGACGAAAGUCUGAAGAAGCGACGCCGCGUGCAGGAAUAAGCCCUUCGGGGUGUAAACUGCUUUUCUAUAGGACGAAUUCGUGACGGUACUUUAGGAAUAAGGGGUUGCUAACUCUGUGCCAGCAGCAGCGGUAAUACAGAGACCCCGAGCGUUAACCGGAUUUACUGGGCGUAAAGAGCUAAACGGCGGUUUUUUAAGUCGGAAGUUAAAGCCCAGGGCUCAACCCUGGGACUGCUUUCGAAACUAGAAAACUAGAGGACGGAAGAGGCAAGCGGAAUUGCAGGUGUAGCGGUAGAAUGCGUUAAUAUCUGCAAGAACACCAAAGGCGAAGGCAGCUUGCUGGGACGUUCCUGACGCUUAAUAGCGAAAGCGUGGGUAGCGAAUGGGAUUAGAAACCCGGGUAGUCC